rnacentral:rRNA from 1 species
UACGGAGGGUGCAAGCGUUGUUCGGAAUCAUUGGGCGUAAAGGGCGCGUAGGCGGUCUGGUAAGUCGGGUGUGAAAGCCCCGGGCUCAACCCGGGAAGUGCAUUCGAAACUGCCGGACUUGAGUACGGGAGGGGGAAGUGGAAUUCCUGGUGUAGGGGUGAAAUCCGUAGAUAUCAGGAGGAACACCGGUGGCGAAGGCGGCUUCCUGGACCGAUACUGACGCUGAGGAGCGAAAGCGUGGGGAGCAAACAGG